rnacentral:ncRNA from 1 species
AAAUGAAACUGGCACACUUAUUGAAAAAUAAGGUCGCAAAGCCGUGAGUCUAAGGGAAGUAAAUUUCUAUGAUUGUCAGGUUACCAAA